rnacentral:ncRNA from 2 species
UGUGUCCGCUAGGGGAGCUGAAUAGCUGAGAAAGCGAGUGUCUCUCGCUUAACCCUUGGAACCUGUCUAGAUAAUACUAGCGUAGGGAAGCGGUUUGUUAAGAGC